rnacentral:SRP_RNA from 1 species
GCUGGGCACGGUGGCGCAUGCCUGUAGUCCCAGCUACUCAGGAGGCUGAGAUGGUAGGAUCGCUUGAGUCCAGGAGUUCUGGGCUGUAGUGCACUAUGUCGAUCGGGUGUCUGCACUAAGUUCAGCAUCAAUAUGGUGACCUCCCGGGAGUGGGGGACCACCAGGUUGCCUAAGGAGGGGUGAACUGGCCCAGGUUGGAAAUGGAGCAGGUCAAAACUCCCGUGCUGAUCAGUAAUGGGAUCGUGCCUGUGAAUAGCCACUGCACUCCAGCCUGGGCAACCUAUCGAGACCCCGUCUCU